rnacentral:rRNA from 1 species
GGGUGAGUAACGUGUGGGCAACCUGCCCUGUACUGUGGAAUAAUCACUGGAAACGGUGACUAAUACCGCAUGUCAUUGCGAGAGGGCAUCCUCUUGCAAGAAAAGGAUUUAUUCGGUACAGGAUGGGCCCGCAUCUGAUUAGCUAGUUGGUGAGAUAACAGCCCACCAAGGCAACGAUCAGUAGCCGACCUGAGAGGGUGAUCGGCCACAUUGGGACUGAGACACGGCCCAAACUCCUACGGGAAGCAGCAGUGGGGAAUAUUGCACAAUGGGCGAAAGCCUGAUGCAGCAACGCCGCGUGAAGGAAGAAGGGUUUCGGCUCGUAAACUUCUAUCAACAGGGACGAAAAAAAUGACGGUACCUGAAUAAGAAGCCCCGGCUAACUACGUGCCAGCAGCCGCGGUAAUACGUAGGGGGCAAGCGUUAUCCGGAAUUACUGGGUGUAAAGGGAGAGUAGGCGGCAUGGUAAGUUAGAUGUGAAAGCCCGAGGCUUAACCUCGGGAUUGCAUUUAAAACUAUCAAGCUAGAGUACAGGAGAGGUAAGUGGAAUUCCUAGUGUAGCGGUGAAAUGCGUAGAUAUUAGGAAGAACACCAGUGGCGAAGGCGACUUACUGGACUGAAACUGACGCUGAGGCUCGAAAGCGUGGGGAGCGAACAGGAUUAGAUACCCUGGUAGUCCACGCCGUAAACGAUGAGUGCUAGGUGUCGGGGGGGAACCCUCGGUGCCGCGGCUAA